UCGAGGGGCAGCAUGGUCUUAGCUUGCUAAGGCUGAUGGCGACCGGCGCACGGGUGAGUAACACGUAUCCAACCUGCCGUCUACUCUUGGACAGCCUUCUGAAAGGAAGAUUAAUACAAGAUGGCAUCAUGAGUCCGCAUGUUCACAUGAUUAAAGGUAUUCCGGUAGACGAUGGGGAUGCGUUCCAUUAGAUAGUAGGCGGGGUAACGGCCCACCUAGUCUUCGAUGGAUAGGGGUUCUGAGAGGAAGGUCCCCCACAUUGGAACUGAGACACGGUCCAAACUCCUACGGGAGGCAGCAGUGAGGAAUAUUGGUCAAUGGGCGAGAGCCUGAACCAGCCAAGUAGCGUGAAGGAUGACUGCCCUAUGGGUUGUAAACUUCUUUUAUAAAGGAAUAAAGUCGGGUAUGCAUACCCGUUUGCAUGUACUUUAUGAAUAAGGAUCGGCUAACUCCGUGCCAGCAGCCGCGGUAAUACGGAGGAUCCGAGCGUUAUCCGGAUUUAUUGGGUUUAAAGGGAGCGUAGAUGGAUGUUUAAGUCAGUUGUGAAAGUUUGCGGCUCAACCGUAAAAUUGCAGUUGAUACUGGAUAUCUUGAGUGCAGUUGAGGCAGGCGGAAUUCGUGGUGUAGCGGUGAAAUGCUUAGAUAUCACGAAGAACUCCGAUUGCGAAGGCAGCCUGCUAAGCUGCAACUGACAUU
rnacentral:rRNA from 1 species